ensembl:lncRNA
UUUUUUUUUUUUUUUUUUUUUUUGGCCUCACCCAUGGCAUAUGGAGGUUCCCAGGCUAGGGGUCGAAUAGGAGCUACAGCUGCCAGCCUACACCACAGCCACAGCAAUGCAGGAUCUGAGCUGCGUCUGCAACUCACACCACAGCUCUCGGCAAUGACAUACCCUUAACUCACCGAGCAAGGCCAGGGAUCGAACCUGCAACCUCAUGGUUCCUAGUCGGAUUCAUUUCCGCUUCGCCAUGACGGGAACUCCAAGAAACAGUAAAUAUUUUGCUAGUAAGCAAAACUCCAAAUAUUAUAGUUAAUGAAAAGCCAAUGAAAAAUAACUCAACCAUUAAGCUCAAAAUAGCAAUAAACUAUUUAUAGUAAUAUCUUAUAAUUUGUAAUCUGUCAUUACAGUAUUAAAAGAACAUUUUCUAAAACUUCCAAAAAUUUGGAAAUAACUGUGACAUUAGCUCUUACUGUAUCAUCAGAUGAGAAGCUAUCUAUAGCCUUAUGAGUCCUAAGAACCUGGGAAGCUUACAUUAUUUGGAAAAAGGGCCUUUGCAGAUAUGACUAAAUUAAGGAUUCUGUGAUGGGGAGAUUAUCCUGGAUCAACAGGGGGGCCCUCAAGUGCCAUCAUAUGUGUCCUUAUAAGAGAGAGGCAAAAAAGAGAUUUCUCUCUCUCUUUCACACCCAAGAAAAGGUGCUGAGAAGACUAGAACUGAGGAAGGUUUGAAAUUCUGCUCUUGAAGACUGGAGUGAUGCAACCAGAAACCAAGGAAUUCUGGCAGCCAUCAGAAACUACAGAAGCAGCGAGGGAUACAGUCUCUUCUGGAGCCUUUGUCUUUUCAUUUUAUCUUUUCAGUGUCUGCACCUGCAGCACACGGCAGUUCCCAAGCUAGGGUCGAAUCAGAGCUGUAGUUGCUGGCCUAUGCCACAGCAACUCGGGAUCUGAGCCAAGUCUGUGACCUACACCACGGCUCACAGCAACACUGGAUCUCCAACCCACUGAGCUGAGGCCAGGGAUCAAACCCGAAUCCUCGUGCAUCUUAGUUGGGUUCGUAACUGCUGAGCCACAAUGGGAACUCCCUCUUCUGCAGCCUUUGGAGGGAGCACCCUGACUUUGGCCCAAUGAUACUGAUUUCAGAUGUCUGGCCUCCAAAACUGUGAGAGAAUAAACUUUUUUUUUCCCCCCACCUUUUAGGGCUGUGCCCACAGCAUAUGGAGGUUCCCAGGCUAGGGGUUGAAUUGGAGCUGUAGCUGCCAGCCUACGCCACGGCCACAGCCAUGCCAGAUCCGAGCUGUGGCUGUGACCUAUACCACAAUUCACGGCAAUGUCAGAUCCUUAGCCCACUGAGCAAGGCCAGGGAUGGAACCUGCGUCCUCAUGGAUGCUAGUCAGAUCUAUUUCUACUGAGCUACAAUGGGAAAUCCUAAACUUUUGUUUUAUGCCACCAAGUUUGUGGCAAUUUGUUACAGCAGCCAGAGGAAACUAAUACAAUCAUUUGCUUUUAAUUUUUUAAAAAAACUGUUGAUGGGAAAAUGAGAUAAUGUGUGGAGAACACUUAGCAAAGUUCCUAAAACACAGUAAACUUGUACUGCUGAUGCCAUCAGGAUACUAAACCAAUUAUGUCUAAGUUCUAAGCUCUGGGUAGCAAGAGAAAAAAAAAUAAGAUGUUCAAACAGUAAAACAGGGGAAUAUAUGCACACAACUCAGGAGCUAAAACACACGAAUCAGCCCCUCAUAUGAUGUGCACUUAACAGCUGUGUCAGUGUUAUGUUCUAAUUUGUCCUGCACUGAAAGGAUAAAUUGUGGAUGAGGCCAGCCGAUGAGAGCUUAUUGGGGGGAGGCAAGCGUAAACAUUUAUUAGCAGAGAAGAAACAAAAGAGCAAGGAAGGACAGAGCAUGAAAAGGAGCAAAGCAAUGGAAACCAAUUAGAUGUUUGUAGAGCUAUCAUCUGGCUGAAGCAGAGACCAAGCUGAGAAAGACCUUCUAGGGUGAGUUAUCUAAGUGGUACAAUGUCUUAAAACCUAUGUUGACUGAUUUGAUAAUUAAAGAGAAUAUGCUGUAGGACGUAUUGGCUCUUGGAGACUCUAAAAAUAUAAGUGUGCUCUGACCCGACACCAGACUUACUAAAUUAGAACCCUUUGGUGUGGGAUAACUCUAAAAGAUUCUGAUACCCAUCUAGGUGGAGAAUUUCUACAUCAGAGUCAAUUCACGGCAAAAGACCUACGGAAUUAAAAUACCACAAAAUAUGUAAUGUAUCCUCACAGUACGCAUGCAACUAAAUUAAGAGCCUUUUCCUAGGUUAAAACUCCUCCCCAGCUGUAACCCCUCCAACCACAGACUUUCCAAAAUCCACGCCCUCACUCUUUACUCUUCCUUUCUUAAGUACAUGGGCCCUGAACUGCUCAGUCAUCUUUCUCACACCUUCUCACAAUUUUUUUUUUCUAGGAAAGUUCCACUUUCAGCUGCCUCCCCAUCUUUCCACAACAUUUACUGUUAGACUAAGAUCUAACAAUAUUUUAUAGAACAAAAGAACCAUGUAAAAGUAAAGUUCCAUUAAUAUACCGUAUUAUAUAAUAAACAACUAUAAAAGUGUUCUACGACCAUUUACUGCAAUAAAAUCCUAAGUACAACUAUCAAGUAAAAUUAUAAAUCACUUUAUACAAGAUUUUAUGCUUUAUCCAAAAGCAUAAAAUUAUGAAGUGGCUAUCAAAAGCUAAUAAACUAAGCACUGUUCACUUCAAUCUGUACUUAAGUGCUACUAAGUAGAUAACAAAGUACAAGGCUCUGAAAAGUUACAAAGUAUACGGAAAGCUCAGCGAUUUAAAAACAAACUUCACCAGCACUAGGGUAAAAGAAAAGGUGAUCUGGGAAGGGAAACUGACUCUGAACCUAAAAGGAAUACCCUUUAUGUGUGUGUAGGGUUGGGGUCAGGGUCAGGGGUGAGGGGGUGAAGGGUAGGGUGUUUAUAUCUUGCUGUCUUCACGCUAGCCUGGGUUUAUUUUAUGACUGAAGCCAAAAAAGAACACAAGUUAGUGUUCAGAUAAAUGUCUGCUCUUCCUUGUCCUAUAAAACACCUACACCAAUUUAUGUAUAUUCCCAGAUAUUUCUAUUUACCUUAGUACUCUAGAAAUUUCAAUCACAUCAAAUUCUAUUAAUUUAUACUUCUACCAACAAUGUGUGAGGUCACUGUUAAUCUCUAUCCUCUUCAAAAUAUUAUCAAAUUGUUUUUGAUCUGUCAAUGUAACAGGUGAAAACAGUAUCUGGCAGUUUUAAUUUGUAAUACUUAUAUUGUGCGUGAGGUUGAACGUCUUGACACACAUGCUUAAGAACUAUUUGAAUUUCCUUUUCUGUGAAAUAUCUGUUCAUGAUCUUUGUCCACUUUACGGCUGAUCUCUUAUCAAUUUGCAUGUACUCUUCAUAAAUUAAGAAAGUUAAUCUUAUAUCUGUAAUACAAGUUAUAAAUAUUUUUCUCAGUUCCUGCAUUAUCACCAUGCCAUUUUAUUAUUUCUUUCCUUCAUGUACAUAUUUUAUUAUCCUCAACCAAAUGGUAAAUUCCUUCCAUGAAAGGAUAUUUCUUUUGCAUAAACCCAGGUCAGUGCUUUUCAGAUCUUCAAAUCUCACACAGAAGCAAAAUUUAAAAGAGGGGGUACCAGCCUUUUGGAGGGUGGUCAAGUGUGAAAAUGAAUUAUCAUUGGAGCACCUACUUGGGUUGACUACCCGACCCUAUUUCACAUGAUUACAGCAAGUACAACCAAGUUCUAAUAACACGGUAUAGAUCGUCAUACAGGGGAGAGAUGUGAGCUGGAUGAAUCUGUUUCCUGUUUCUGGGCAGUGCAGGGGAACAUUAGGAGAUGCUGGUGGCCAUAUUUUCCAUAAGAGAACUAGGAAGUGGUCAUUUAUAGCAUGAGAAGACAUGAAGCAAAUGCACCGCGAAAAGAGAGAAAAGACAAAGUGUGUCCUCCUGGCACUGGAGUUCCAGAGUCCCAACCCUUGGAUUCUAAAGGAAUCCUGCAUCUUUACAGUAAAUUUCACUCCCAGUUGGAAUGGAUUUCUAUCACUUACACUCAGAAGUGGCCUACUCACUACAACUAUCAUCUACUCAUAUCAUUUCAAAGAACAUUUUAACACCAAAGCUUUAGGAGGGACAGAAUCUCAGGAUUUUUUAUUUAUUUAUUUAUUUAUUUUUUAAAGAAAUAUUUAUAUUUAAUGUCAGCUGUGUGCCAGGUAAAAGUCUAAGUUCUUGAGGCUUGCAAUCUAGUGAGAGUAUACAGAUAUAAAAACACAUUUUCAGGAGUCCCCAUUGUGGCUCAGUGGUAACAAACCCAACUAGCAUCCAUGAGGAUGCAGGUCUGAUUCUUGGCCUCGCUCAGUAGGUUAAGGAUCUGGCAUUACCAUAAGCUGUUGUUUAGGCUGCAGAUGCAGCUUGAAUCUGGCAUUGCUGUGGCUGUGGUGUAGGCUGGCAGCUACAGCUCUGAUUCAGCCUGUAGCCUGGGAACUUCCAUAUAUCGUGGGUGUGGCCCUAAAUAAAUAAAUAAAAAUAAAAUACAUUUUCAGAUAGUGAUAAAUGGUUUGCAGAAAAAAAAAAAUUAAGGUAAUGGGAUAGAGGGAAAAGAGGAUGGUGCCACACUGACAGGGUGGUUAGAUAAUAAUCCUUCUCUGAGAAGAUAACUGAAUUGAAACCUGAAAUGAUGAAAAGGAGCCAGGUUUUAGGAAGAGAAUUCUGGGCAGAGAGAACAGUCCUAGGUCAGGAGUAAGCCAUGACACUUUGGGGGGGACGGGGGGGAAGGACAGUGUAGAUGGAGUAUAGUGACAAGAGAGAAUGCUAAAGAAGUGGUAAAGGAGUAAUUGAUUUAAGAGGAAAAGGUGUAAAAUGGUAGACUGAGUAGAAAUCAGAUCAUACACAGGAACUAGAAGGCAGUGGAAAGGAUUUGAGAAUAACUUGAGCUUUAUGGUAAACUCACUACAUUGUCUUUAAUUCUCACUUUGCAUCAGUCGAAACUUUAACAGACUCUUAGAAACUAUUCCCCAAGUAUUAACACAAUGUUGAGGUUAGCCAGGAAUGAACAUUUCCUAAGCAGAAGAGAACUCUUCUGGUAGAUUAUAAUUUUUUUUAAGAAAAAAAAUGCAAAGCCAUCUUAUACAAGAAGAAUCUGGGAUGACAGGAUGAUAUAAAUGACUUCAAAUUCUAUCCUGCUUACUAUAUACUGUGAAUGAAUCUACUAUAAUCAAAACUGUAUGAAGUUGUUAAAGAAGAAUUUAAGAUCUUUCCAGGCUACUGUAAACCUAACAUCCUUUGUUCGCUGAGUUCACUGUUACUGAACUGGACAUUAACAAUGUCAAAUACUGUCAGAAGAGAAAAUUAGAAACUAAACUUAUUUCUGACUUUACUGUACCUCCUGAGAAUAGAUACAGCUUAACGAUCAACAAAGCUGCCAGUUCUAAUCUUAUCUCUUUUAUUACAAUAAGGAAGAACUUCCCCUCGGUGGCGAAAUUAGGUACAAGGGAUGCUUGUACCAGUAUCUCUUUCUCUGAAAGCUUUUUAAAAUAGGAGACUAAUCAAUCAGCUUAAAGAGGUCUGAAUACAGUACACGUUGCAGAAGAGCAGUGUUCUCUCUAGAUCUUUCCAGACCACUAAUAUUUAUGUACACAAAGCACGUAACGGAAACCUGCAUGGCUUCUAAGAUUAAUAUCAGUAGAGUAAGAUCUUUGAAAGCUCUAAUUUAUUUAUGAAUCUCAUUUUUCACUAUGUUAGAUAUUUAGUUAGCCCACAGAGCUGUAGACCAGAAAGUAGACGGCGAAUAACACAAUCCAUAAAGAGUGGUGUUUGUGAGUGUGCUGUGAGUUAAAGACAUAAAAGUCAUUUAGACGCCUUGAUCAAGACUUGAUUCUGAGUGCAUCCUCCUCAACACACUUCCAGCAGUUUGGCAAAGUGCCCAGGGAUGAUUAGCAGCCAUGUAUGGGGGGCGGGGGGAGAGCAAUACAGGGCUGUCAACCUAAAUUGUAAAGUCUCCCCCCAGUGGUCACAUACAAACAACAGGAAGACUAGGGAAAUCAUUGCAGCUUCUGUGAGACUGACCAAAAAUACUCUAUGCAGAACCUGGCCCCUACAACGGGGAAAAAAAAAAAAAAAAAAAAAAAAAAAUCAAACCUUUAAUUUAAUACUAGUGCCAUGUCAGUAGAGAGACCUCAUAGGCUUCUCUGCUCUUAUGAUAUUCAUAAGUGUGAACACUGUUUCUGGAAGGAAAGAACCAAGAGGCAAAACAAACCAGCACAGUUUUUCCCUGUAUGAAUGUUUAGGAAAAAUUUAAUGAUAUCUUCAAGCAACCCAUUUGUUUUAUCUAAUGCUCAGGUGUUCAUUCCUCCUGAAAUAAAUAUCAGCGCAUCCCUUGAAAGUCAACUACACCUACCUGAGGUGGAGUUCUGAUACAAGUGUAGCCACUUACCAAAUGACUCACCUUGUUAAAGAAAAUUAUCACCAACGCUAAAAAAUCUUAUACCCAAUUUGCAAAAAUAUUCCUUAAAAAAUACCCACCUAGAACUAGGCAGUAUAUAACACAGUAAGUGACAUCAAAAGUUCCAAAGGGUCCUCUUGCCUAUUUUAAUAUUUAUUUUCUUGGUAUUUUUAUAAUUAGGGAGUCUCCGACUAGCACUAAUAUUGCAUUAUUUGUAACUCUCAGCAAUAAUUUGUUGAUGUUACUUUUAACAAAGCUUGGAUGUCAAAAAUGCGAAGGGCAUUUAAUGAAAAUCUCAGCUGUCUUCUGCUAACCAUUCAUUAUUAAAUGGUAGCGUAUACAAAGGCAUGGUAAGUUCUCAAACAGCUUCAAGUUAAAAACAGUACAGGUAACACACAGAGGCCUGUAAUUAUGACUUUCUUGGUUAUCCCAAGCUAAAAAUGGGAGGGGGGGAGGCAGAGAGACGCAGGCUGUGUAGUCUUCUGGAACAAUUUCAGCCUGAAAUGAGACUCAGGAAAAAUGCAAACUGCUCCCACGAAUGUUUAAGAAAAAUAUGAUUCGUUUAAAAAAAAAUCCAACAGUUGGCCUAGAGAACAAAAAAUGAUUCUGUCUUCCACAGAACUAUCAGCCUUGCUGAAGGCCCUAUUUUUUCCAGUGCUCAUUUAAUCUUGAAUAUAUAAAGAAGAGAGUCAUUUUGAAAUUCCAAAUGGAAAAGGAACCCAGUGGCAUCAAUCAGAAAAGGACACACACAGACCCCCACAUGUUUUUUCAUAAAGAUAUUUAGCAUGCAAUCUCUACAGGACAAAACCAGGGCUAUUAAAAGUGUUACCACUUGUAUAUUAUGUAACCCUAGUCUAAACUAAAAGCAGCACAGACCUUAAAAAGUAACACAUUGUGCAAACAUGUAUUUAAACAUACAUUUAAAUAUAUGACAGAUCUCAGAUACCAGAUGACCUCAGGAUGACACAACCCAUGAAAGUUGUUUGCUGUAAUCAGGCCUCAGAAGACAUGACUAUAAUCAGGCCUGAUACCUUAUCAUAAUUGCACAGCAGAUGCCUAAAAUAAGCAGUAAUAGCGUGAGAUCCGUUGUUUCACACAUGUACCGCAACUAUCUCCGCAUUGCUAACAGAGUGUUGCCUCGCCUGAAAUAUUCGACCUGCAUAAGUUUCUGAACGACCAUUUCAAAGAUUUCUCGGGAAGACAUGGCUGCUAAAUCCUACUCCAAUUGAAAAGCAGUUUAACGCACCUCCAAUGUUCCAAGGCAUAUUACAAGGAGGCCAAUUCAGGAGGCACAAAGUCAAAUUCCAACACCCCCAAAGGCAUAGAAAAGGAGUAAAAUGUAACCAGCUGUUUGAAAGUCAGGCGGAGAAUUUUCCUGAGAUUCCCCACCAGCCUUCAACUCCGUCCCUCGCCUGCCCCCAACCCUUCUUACAUGCCCCAGCUGAUGGAAGUUGAACGGAUGGAAUCACGCGCUGUAAUCCCAGGAGCUGCGGAGACGGAGACGAAACUCCCAAGAAAGUGUUAAAAAAAAAAAAA